UUCGAAACAAACCUAUUUCCUCAGUUGGUAGAUGGUCAGAUGAAAUUCUUGGCUUCGAAAAUAAGCCACCUGCGCGCAGUAACAGUGAGAGAUCCAGUAUGGAAUCGGCACGGGACAAAUCAAUUUCUUCAGACAGUAGACUAUCAGAUAGAAAUCUUGAUUUAGUGAGUAAGCCAGUGGGUGACGUAUUGUCGAUGUCAAGUUAUUCUGAUAAUUUUGAAUCUGAUGCGAGUGACCAUACACGAGGCAGUAGUGCAAGCUGACCACAGUUAUCUUUCAAGUAAGUGCCAUUGUAAAAGUUAGUUGUGGUGAAGGCCGUGUUGACACGAUGCAAUUUUUACUGAAACUAGUGUAGCAACGCUUUAUUCGUAUCGAAGAAAAUAUCAUUUCAGUGAGGCAACAAUUACCUUUCGGUACCGUGCCGCCACAACACAAACGGGAAUGUUCUGUUUAACUUGUGAAAGUGUGAAACAUGCAGGUAUAUAUUAAUAUAUACAUAAUAAAAGUGCCAUCCAGUCACUAUCCAGUGAUCGGAAUGUAAUUCCAUUCUCUUUUCCGUCACUGUUUUGAACAUGCCAUUAUAGACCCAUUGCACUGACGUCACAAAUCCUUAAAGUGUCCUCCAGAUGCUCCCGAACAAUAUCUAUUCGGGUACAACAACCACAUACAGCGCAAAAACUAACCAUUUUAAUACAAAAUUAUUAUAAAGUUAUACAAAAUUUGCUUUGUUUACAAAAGUUAUAUUAUUCAUAGAUUGCUAAUUUGUCCUCCAGAUGCAUCGUUACCGGCGCUGUGACGUCAUGUGCAAUGGGUCUAUUCCCCAUGCAUCCAGUAAUGAUUCAGUCAAUGUUCCAUUGCCUUUUUAAUGUUGUGAAAAUCCCAUGAAUGCAAUGAAUCACGGACACAAUCGUAACCGUAUUUCAAGUUGACAUCCAAGAACACGUUACAAUAAUUCGAAGGGUUUUUAACCCAUGAUUAGGGUUAGGAUUAAUGCAUGUGUACAGUAUCUGUUAGUUUAAGUGUAGAUUGAAAAGUGAGUCUCUGUUAACUGUUGUAUGGCAUACUAGUAGAGUACGCAAUGUUUUGGGGGUGAUAGCACUUGUACAAAAAAAUUAAAACUAGAUAAUUUAUAUAAAAAAUACAGUAAUGUCCGGCUCCAAUGAAGAGCUAGCGCUACUAGUAUGAUUUAAAUUUCAGCCUGAAUUACGUACAGUCAUAUAUUGAUUUUUUUUUUAAAUGGACUCUGCAUGCAACCAAUAUAGAGAUUGAAAUAAGUCUAUGGUUUACAAUAUU
rnacentral:lncRNA from 1 species